rnacentral:tRNA from 1 species
GCUGGUGUGGCGGAACUGGUAGACGCGUGGGUCUCAAAAACCCAUGGAGCUUUGCUCCGUAUCGGUUCGACCCCGAUCACCAGCACCC